rnacentral:ncRNA from 1 species
UUAAAUGCGAAGAAAAGGAAAGUAGCUUUAAGAAUACUUUUACAGAGAGUUCCUAUUGGUGAGAAGGAGCAAAGGAUAUUAAAGGGAAAAUGGCCUUGGAGCUGUGCACCGAGAUUGUUUCAAUUUAGGCUGCAACGGGUUCACCCGUUAUAGUGAUAGAGUAUCAUCACCUAGUGACGUACUUGAGAGGUUUACAUUGUGAAAUGUAAGCGAAUUAGGAUGGUAACGCGAAGACAACUCUCGUUCCUAAG